rnacentral:rRNA from 1 species
UACGGAGGGUGCAAACGUUGCUCGGAAUUAUUGGGCGUAAAGCGCACGUAGGCGGUUUGUUAAGUCUGAUGUGAAAGCCCCAGGCUCAACUUGGGAAGUGCAUCGGAAACUGGCAAGCUUGAAUAUGGAAGAGGGUCGCGGAAUUCCCGGUGUAGAGGUGAAAUUCGUAGAUAUCGGGAGGAACACCAGUGGCGAAGGCGGCGACCUGGGCCAAUAUUGACGCUGAGGUGCGAAAGCGUGGGGAGCAAACAGG